rnacentral:misc_RNA from 1 species
UGAAAACCCCCUAGAGCUUCAGUCCCCAAAGGCCCUUAUUCUCUUUUUGAAAUCUGAAGAGAAAGAGAGCUGAGAAAGAAUGGGUGAGAAGCCAAAAUCUGGAGGUGUUUGGCCUACUGUUAAGCCAUUUGUUAAUGGAGGUGUCUCUGGUAUGCUUGCUACCUGUGUUAUUCAGCCUAUUGAUAUGAUAAAGGUGAGGAUACAAUUGGGACAGGGAUCAGCAGCUGAGGUUACCAAGACCAUGCUUAAAAAUGAAGGUUUUGGUGCCUUUUACAAGGGUCUGUCAGCUGGGCUUCUUAGGCAGGCAACCUACACAACUGCCCGACUUGGGUCAUUCAGAAUUUUGACGAACAAGGCCAUUGAGGCUAAUGAAGGGAAGCCCUUACCUCUAUACCAAAAGGCUUUGUGUGGUCUGACUGCUGGAGCAAUAGGUGCAACUGUUGGUAGUCCAGCAGAUUUGGCCCUCAUUCGUAUGCAAGCUGAUGCUACCUUGCCUUUAGCACAGAGACGCAAUUACACAAAUGCAUUCCAUGCACUCUCCCGUAUUGCGGCUGAUGAAGGAGUUCUAGCCCUCUGGAAAGGUGCUGGCCCAACAGUAGUAAGGGCAAUGGCAUUGAACAUGGGUAUGCUUGCCUCUUAUGAUCAGAGUGUGGAGUUCUUCAGGGACAACCUUGGCAUGGGCGAGGCUGCUACAGUAGUAGGGGCCAGCAGUGUUUCUGGAUUCUUUGCUGCUGCUUGCAGUUUACCAUUUGAUUACGUGAAGACCCAGAUUCAGAAAAUGCAACCAGAUGCUGAAGGAAAAUUGCCCUACACUGGUUCUUUCGAUUGUGCCAUGAAGACUUUGAAGACAGGAGGACCCUUCAAAUUCUACACUGGAUUUCCAGUAUAUUGUGUUAGGAUUGCCCCUCAUGUUAUGAUGACUUGGAUCUUCCUUAACCAAAUUCAAAAGGUCGAGAAGAAAAUCGGAUUGUGAUUGUUGCAAAAAAGAGAUACAUCCUCUCAAGUUGAGCUUUAUUAGAAAUAACAUCUUCGCCUUGUUGUAUUAGUACUGUUUUCGCUCUUUCUUUAUCCUCACGCCUUCAAAGGCUUUAAGAUUUUUGUUGGUGACACAUUGACUUGCGGAAAAUUUAGGUUAGACAUUUGAUCUUUUCCAUAUUCCUACCUUUAUAGUUUUGGGAAGACUACUUUAUCCAAACUGAUGGGAAGAUUCUUUUAUCUGAAUAAUCUAUGUACUUCAAAAACCGUCUUGAAGUAGGUACUAUGGAGUUUCACCAUUUUUGGUGUCAUCUUGAACUUGAUCUUGUUGCCUGUUGUUGGAUAUACACUCAUUUGUUAGCAUCCAUCCUGGUAUGAGCUAUUUGAGUAUUGAAGUAAAA